GACGAACGCUGGCGGCGUGCCUAACACAUGCAAGUCGAACGGAAAGGCCCUGUUUUUGUGGGGUGCUCUAGUGGCGAACGGGUGAGUUACACGUGAGUUUCCUGUCCUUGACUUUGGGAUAACUUCAGGAAACUGGGGCUAAUCCCGGAUAUGAGCUCCUGCUGCAUGGUGGGCGUUGGUAAGUUUCGCCGGUUGGUGAUGGACUCGCGGCUUAUCAGCUUGUUGGUGAGGUAGUGGCUUACCAUGGCAUUGAACGGUAGCCGGCCUGGGAGGGGAGCCUGGCACAUGAGGACUGAGGUACGGCGCAGACUGGAACGGGAGGCAACGGGGGGGAAUGUGACACAGUAGGCGGAAGCCUAGUGUGACAACGCCGCGUGCGGGAUGACGUCCUGCGGGUAGUAAACCGCAUUCGCCUGAGACGAAGCGAGAGUGACGGUAACGGGAGAAGAAGCACCGGCUAACUACGUG
rnacentral:rRNA from 1 species